CCGUUAAGAUGAAAAUGAACAUGAAUUAUACUCCGAUCCAUAAUAAGUGUCGGGGAUUUAGUACAUUAGCAUAACUUUGUACUAAAUCUCCGACAGGCCGACAUUUAUUAUGGAUCGGAGGGAGUAUGAUUUGAGAUAGUAGGUAAUCAAA